UCUUGGUCAUUUAGAGGAGUAAAAGUCGUAACAAGGUUUCCGUAGGUGAACCUGCGGAAGGAUCAUUACAAAUCCAAAUAUUUACGAUGUGAGUAGUGGAGGAGAAAUUCUCCACACACACUCUAUCAUCACAUUACCUAUUGACACUUGUAUAUUAAUUUACGCAUGAAAAAUACCUUUUAACAAUGGAUCUCUUGGCUCUUGCAUCGAUGAAGAACGCAGCAAACUGCGAUACGUCAUGUGAACUGCACUCUUCGUGAAUCAUUAAAUCUUUGAACGCAUAUGGCACCUCGAGGCACACGUCUCGAGGUAUACUUGUUUGAGCAUCCGAUACAUCUUCACUCUACCAUUGGCAGAAUGUGCAACUGAGUGUAGUUGGGAUCUAACACCCACCAGUAAAGGGUAUUAUUUCUUUAAAAGCAGGCGCAGUCAUGAUUUCUGGUCACACUCAACAUGCCCUAUUCAUGGGAUAAUAUCCACGACGUGAAUGGCAUGUGUGUGACCACCGAUCUUAUGACAGCAAACCGACUCUCUGAUGAGAGAGUCAACCAACGAAACCGAUCUCAAAUCAAGUCAAGAUGACCCGCUGAACUUAAGCAUAUCAACAAGCGCGAGGAAA
rnacentral:rRNA from 1 species